CAGCCGCCGCGGUAAUACGAAGGGUGCAAGCGUUGUUCGGAAUCACUGGGCGUAAAGGGAGCGUAGGCGGCGUGGUAAGUCAGAUGUGAAAUCCCGGGGCUCAACCCCGGAACUGCAUCCGAUACUGCCGUGCUAGAGGAUUGGAGAGGUAGCUGGAAUUCUUGGUGUAGCAGUGAAAUGCGUGGAGAUCAAGAGGAACACUCGUGGCGAAAGCGAGCUACUGGACAAUAUCUGACGCUGAGGCUCGAAGGCCAGGGUAGCGAAAGGGAUUAGAUACCCCUGUAGUCCCUGUCUCUUAUAC
rnacentral:rRNA from 1 species